rnacentral:rRNA from 1 species
CCCUCGGGUGACAGGGAGACAGGUGGUGCAUGGUUGUCGUCAGCUCGUGUCGUGAGAUGUUGGGUUUAAGUCCCGCAACGAGCGCAACCCUUGUCAUUAGUUGCUACAUUUGGUUGGGCACUCUAAUGAGACUGCCGGUGACAAACCGGAGGAAGGUGGGGAUGACGUCAAGUCCUCAUGGCCCUUAUAGGUGGGGCUACACACGUCAUACAAUGGCCGGUACAAAGGGUCGCAAACCCGCGAGGGGGAGCCAAUCCAUCAAAGCCGGUCGUAGUCCGGAUCGCAGUCUGCAACUCGACUGCGUGAAGUCGGAAUCGCUAGUAAUCGUGGAUCAGCAUGUCACGGUGAAUACGUUCCCGGGUCUU